rnacentral:rRNA from 1 species
ACACGACUCUCGGCAACGGAUAUCUCGGCUCUCGCAUCGAUGAANAACGUANCGAAAUGCGAUACCUGGUGUGAAUUGCAGAAUCCCGCGAACCAUCGAGUCUUUGAACGCAAGUUGCGCCCGAGGCCAUUNGGCCNAGGGCACGCCUGCCUGGGCGUCACGC